rnacentral:ncRNA from 1 species
CAUCUCUGUUAGGGGUGUUCUUUUUAUAAAGAGCUGAGAUCAUACCCUCGAACCUGAUAUGUUGUAAUUGACAUCGUAGGAAAACGGAAUUUACAUGGU